rnacentral:rRNA from 1 species
UUACCUACGGGAGGCAGCAGUAAGGAAUAUUGGUCAAUGGGCGGAAGCCUGAACCAGCCAAGUCGCGUGAGGGAAUAAGACCCUACGGGUCGUAAACCUCUUUUGCCGGGGAGCAAGGGCGGGGACGUGUCCCGGCCCGGAGAGUACCCGGAGAAAAAGCAUCGGCUAACUCCGUGCCAGCAGCCGCGGUAAUACGGAGGAUGCGAGCGUUAUCCGGAUUUAUUGGGUUUAAAGGGUGCGUAGGCGGACGCUUAAGUCAGCGGUAAAAUUGCGGGGCUCAACUUCGUCGAGCCGUUGAAACUGGG